AACGAACGCUGGCGGUAUGCUUAACACAUGCAAGUCGAACGGGUGUAGCAAUACAUCAGUGGCAAACGGGUGAGUAAUACAGAGGAAUCUACCUAGCAGUAAGGAAUAACUCUGAGAAAUCGGAGCUAAUACCAUAUAUUACCCUUCGGGGGAAAGAUUUAUCGCUGUUAGAUGAGCCUCUGCCGGAUUAGCUAGUUGGUAGGGUAAUGGCCUACCAAGGCAAUGAUCCGUAGCUGGUCUGAGAGGAUGAUCAGCCACACUGGAACUGAGACACGGUCCAGACUCCUACGGGAGGCAGCAGUGGGGAAUAUUGGACAAUGGGCGCAAGCCUGAUCCAGCAAUACCGCGUGAGUGAUGAAGGUCUUCGGAUUGUAAAGCUCUUUUAGUAGAGAAGAUAAUGACGGUAUCUACAGAAAAAGCACCGGCAAACUUCGUGCCAGCAGCCGCCGUAA
rnacentral:rRNA from 1 species